rnacentral:rRNA from 1 species
UGCCCAUAUAACACUUGGAAACAGGUGCUAAUACCGUAUAACACUAUUUUCCGCAUGGAAGAAAGUUGAAAGGCGCUUUUGCGUCACUGAUGGAUGGACCCGCGGUGCAUUAGCUAGUUGGUGAGGUAACGGCUCACCAAGGCCACGAUGCAUAGCCGACCUGAGAGGGUGAUCGGCCACACUGGGACUGAGACACGGCCCAGACUCCUACGGGAGGCAGCAGUAGGGAAUCUUCGGCAAUGGACGAAAGUCUGACCGAGCAACGCCGCGUGAGUGAAGAAGGUUUUCGGAUCGUAAAACUCUGUUGUUAGAGAAGAACAAGGAUGAGAGUAAAAUGUUCAUCCCUUGACGGUAUCUAACCAGAAAGCCACGGCUAACUACGUGCCAGCAGCCGCGGUAAUACGUAGGUGGCUAGCGUUGUCCGGAUUUAUUGGGCGUAAAGCGAGCGCAGGCGGUUUCUUAAGUCUGAUGUGAAAGCCCCCGGCUCAACCGGGGAGGGUCAUUGGAAACUGGGAGACUUGAGUGCAGAAGAGGAGAGUGGAAUUCCAUGUGUAGCGGUGAAAUGCGUAGAUAUAUGGAGGAACACCAGUGGCGAAGGCGGCUCUCUGGUCUGUAACUGACGCUGAGGCUCGAAAGCGUGGGGAGCGAACAGGAUUAGAUACCCUGGUAGUCCACGCCGUAAACGAUGAGUGAUAAGUG